GUAGGUGGCAAGCGUUGUCCGGAUUUACUGGGCGUAAAUCGCGUGUAGGCGGUUGGCUAAGUCCGAUGUGAAAUCCCUGGGCUCAACCGGGAAGAGCCAUCUGAAACUGGCCGGCUAGAGGGGGAUAGAGGAUGGCGGAAUUCCCGGUGUAGCGGUGAAAUGCGUAGAUACCGGGAGGAACAUCCGUGGCGAAGGCGGCCUUCUGGAUCUAUCCUGACGCUGAGGAACGAAAGCGUGGGGAGCAAACCGGAUUAGAUACCCUGGUAGUCCACGCCCUAAACGAUGCAUGCUGGGUGGUUGGUCUCGACUCGGAGAUCAGGGUCGAAGCUAACGCGUUAAGUUCGCCGCCUGGGGAGUACGGUCGCAAGACUG
rnacentral:rRNA from 1 species